rnacentral:rRNA from 1 species
AUUGAACGCUGGCGGCAGGCUUAACACAUGCAAGUCGAGCGGAAACGAUGGUAGCUUGCUACCAGGCGUCGAGCGGCGGACGGGUGAGUAAUACUUAGGAAUCUACCUAGUAGUGGGGGAUAGCACGGGGAAACUCGUAUUAAUACCGCAUACGACCUACGGGAGAAAGGGGGCAGUUUACUGCUCUCGCUAUUAGAUGAGCCUAAGUCGGAUUAGCUAGAUGGUGGGGUAAAGGCCUACCAUGGCGACGAUCUGUAGCUGGUCUGAGAGGAUGAUCAGCCACACCGGGACUGAGACACGGCCCGGACUCCUACGGGAGGCAGCAGUGGGGAAUAUUGGACAAUGGGGGAAACCCUGAUCCAGCCAUGCCGCGUGUGUGAAGAAGGCCUUUUGGUUGUAAAGCACUUUAAGCAGUGAAGAAGACUCUUCGGUUAAUACCCGGAGACGAUGACAUUAGCUGCAAAAUAAGCACCGGCUAACUCUGUGCCAGCAGCCGCGGUAAUACAGAGGGUGCAAGCGUUAAUCGGAAUUACUGGGCGUAAAGCGAGCGUAGGUGGCUUGAUAAGUCAGAUGUGAAAUCCCCGGGCUUAACCUGGGAACUGCAUCUGAAACUGUUAGGCUAGAGUAGGUGAGAGGGAAGUAGAAUUUCAGGUGUAGCGGUGAAAUGCGUAGAGAUCUGAAGGAAUACCGAUGGCGAAGGCAGCUUCCUGGCAUCAUACUGACACUGAGGCUCGAAAGCGUGGGUAGCAAACAGG